rnacentral:rRNA from 1 species
GAUUAACGCUGGCGGCGUGCAUAACACAUGCAAGUCGAACGAUGAAACUUUACUGACUUCUUCGGAAUGAUUUAAAGCGGAUUAGUGGCGAACGGGUGAGUAACGCGUGAGUAACCUGCCUUACACAAGGGGAUAGCCUCUGGAAACGGAGAAUAAUACCCUAUGAAACCAGACAAUCGCAUGAUAAUCUGGUCAAAAUGUUUAGUGGUGUAAGAUGGACUUGCGUCUGAUUAGCUAGUUGGUGAGAUAAAAGCUCACCAAGGCAACGAUCAGUAGCCGGCUUGAGAGAGUGUACGGACACAUUGGGACUGAGACACGGCCCAGACUCCUACGGGAGGCAGCAGUGGGGAAUUUUGCACAAUGGGGGAAACCCUGAUGCAGCGACGCCGCGUGAUUUAGAAGGCCUUCGGGUUGUAAAAAUCUUUUGUAUAGGAAGAAAAUGACAGUACUAUACGAAUAAGGUCCGGCUAAUUACGUG